AUUGAACGCUGGCGGCAUGCCUUACACAUGCAAGUCGAACGGCAGCGGACCUUCGGGUGCCGGCGAGUGGCGAACGGGUGAGUAAUAUAUCGGAACGUACCUUUCAGUGGGGGAUAACGUAGCGAAAGUUACGCUAAUACCGCAUAUUCUGUGAGCAGGAAAGCAGGGGAUCGCAAGACCUUGCGCUGAUUGAGCGGCCGAUAUCAGAUUAGCUAGUUGGUGAGGUAAAGGCUCACCAAGGCGACGAUCUGUAGCGGGUCUGAGAGGAUGAUCCGCCACACUGGAACUGAGACACGGUCCAGACUCCUACGGGAGGCAGCAGUGGGGAAUUUUGGACAAUGGGCGCAAGCCUGAUCCAGCCAUGCCGCGUGAGUGAUGAAGGCCCUAGGGUCGUAAAACUCUUUCGCUGGGGAAGAUAAUGACGGUACCCAGUAAAGAAACCCCGGCUAACUCCGUAGCCAGCAGCCGCGGUAAAGUCGAUAUCGC
rnacentral:rRNA from 1 species